AUUGAACGCUGGCGGCAUGCCUUACACAUGCAAGUCGAACGGCAGCACGGGUGCUUGCACCUGGUGGCGAGUGGCGAACGGGUGAGUAAUACAUCGGAACGUACCUUAUUGUGGGGGAUAACGCAGCGAAAGCUGUGCUAAUACCGCAUAAUCCCUAAGGGGGAAAGCGGGGGACCGUAAGGCCUCGCGCAAUUAGAGCGGCCGAUACCUGAUUAGCUAGUUGGUGAGGUAAAGGCUCACCAAGGCAACGAUCAGUAGCUGGUCUGAGAGGACGAUCAGCCACACUGGGACUGAGACACGGCCCAGACUCCUACGGGAGGCAGCAGUGGGGAAUUUUGGACAAUGGGGGCAACCCUGAUCCAGCAAUGCCGCGUGAGUGAAGAAGGCCUUCGGGUUGAAAAGCUCUUUUGUCAGGGAAGAAACAGCAGCUCUAACACAGUUUGCGAAUGACGGUACCUGAAGAAUAAGCACCGGCUAACUACGUGCCAGCCGCCGCGUAUA
rnacentral:rRNA from 1 species